GAUUUUCUCGCACUUUUUAUUUUCAAUAUUUGUCGUAAGUAAAUUUAGUUGAUACCAAAUCGUUGAUGAAAAUUAAAUUUUAAUUUUUUUUAAAUAAUUGAGAUUGAAA